AACCCUAAAAAGUCCCUCGAGCACAAAAGUUUGGUCCUAGCUUUAAAGUCAGCUUUUUCUUAAUUUAUACAUGCAAGUCUCCCCGCCCCCGUGAGGACCCAUUACCCUCUUAAGAGGCUUAAUGGGAUUGGUCUCAGGCGCAACAGUCAGCCCAAAACACCUAACUACAUGUCACACCCACAAGGGUUACAGCAGUGAUUAAUAUUGAAUAUGAGUGCCAACUCGACUCAGUCAAAGCAAACAGGGCCGGCCAAGCUGGUGCCAGCAGCCGCGGCUACACCAGAGGCCCAAGUUGACCCCUAUCGGCGUAGAGCGUGGUUAAAGAUUCAUAAAAUUGGAGUCAAAUGCUAACUGAGCAGUAACAUGCCUGUUUUCGAGAAGCCUACAAACGAAAGUUACUCCAAUUACCAUAACUUGAACCCACGAUAGCCGGAACACAAACUAGGAUUAGAUACCCUACUAUGUCCGGCCUUAAACCUUAAAUUACACCUUUAC
rnacentral:rRNA from 1 species